AAGCAUUUGGUAUCACAAGUAUUUGCUAAACAACUCCUACAGAUGCUUGGAAACUUUUAGAAGAAUUACUGCUGUGACAUCUCCUAAGAUGAUAUUGGUCACAAUUGAAAUACAGAACAAUAGGUGCUAGUAUAAAAAAUUGGGGAACAUUUGAGUAUGAAAUUCACACCAAAUAUUGAAUUUACCUAAUUUACUGUUAUUUCCAUUUUGUGGAGGCAGAGUGGUUUCCUGGGAAAGCACAUGGGGCUUAAUACUUGGGAAGAAUGACUCCAGGUCCUGACUGAUGCUUGGGACCCAUGUGCACUGCAGCCUCUUCUUUGAGCAUUGAGCCGCACGUGUAAGAGGGAUGCUGGAGAAGCUCGGUAAGCUCAGCUCUCCAAGUGUACAAACUACAUUUCAUGAGCUAUCCUAGGAUGAAAGAUGGCCUCUUCAAGCAUGGGCUGGCGAAUCUCUGCUGAAGCGUGCAUUUAGCAUGCAGAAGACCCUGUGUUUAAGUCCUCCCACCACCUGCAAAUAGUGGCCACAGUGUUCUUUUUUAUAUAUAUUGUCUGUUUAGAAUAUUUAGAAGUCCAUUCAUUACAAUGCUCAUCUCACUUGUCCCAUGGUGGUUUAGUAUCUACUUCCACCUUACUGACCCACCAGGCAUAGAAGUAGACGAAUUCCCACACUGCUUAGAUUGGCCCCAAAGAAACUGCAUCGUUCUUCAAGUCCCUCAGUCAUAGUAAUGUCAUCCCAUUCAAUUAGAGGUGGCAGAGGCUGGCCUGGCUCCAAAAGAAGACUGUCAAUUCCUCUCCCUGUCUGUGUCCACGCUCGGCAGGAUGCUUCCUCACGCCCACCUCUCUCCCCCUUGCUGUGACUUUGGCUUCCGCCAGAUGUCACACCGCUGCUUGUCACCGCCCAGACUCUGUAGUCGCUGAUUUUGUUGUUUCAGUGUGUUUGUCACAACUGUUCUCCUUAGCUGUAAAAUUUAUGGAAUUUCAAGCACUUGUUAAUCACUACAGUGUUUCUUUUUCCUGAUAGAGGAAACAGACAAGGAGUCGUAUGCACAAAAGUUAGAAGGAAGGGAAUGGUCCAUCUAAUUUAAGCAAGUCUCUGUGUAUGAUACACACUCUCCACUUCCAAAAGUGUAAGAAUCUCAGGAGAAUGGAGCUUGGCUCUGUAGUUCUCGGGUGCGGAGACACUUCUGCAGGAAGAAGUACAUAAAAGAUCCACUUUAUGGAUGAGACCCAGUUCAAUGUUACCCCCUUGGCAACCAUAAGAAAGUAGAGAAUUCUCUGUGAUAGCAUCUUCUGGAUUUUUGUAUUAUCUAGUCAAAGCUUAAAAAUGAGCAGGUGGGGUUAUUUAGGUUUUGAUAUUACUGCAUAUAGGCAUUACACUGGGUGCUUCACAUGUAUUUAAGCCUCAGGAAAAUUUAAAAUGGCCUGGAUCUCUUCACUUGGUAAAUAAGCUCAUGUCUGACCACACCCCCACACACCUCAACACAUGCACCUGGAAUAAGGGGUUUGUUUGUUCUUUUGUUUUUUGUUUUUGGGGGGGGGUUUGGUUUGGUUUGGUUUGGUUUUGGGGUUUUUUGUUGUUGUUUUUGAAGACAGAGUUUCUCUGUGUAUCCCUGGUUGUCCUGAAACUCACUCUGUAGAUCAGACUGGCUUCAAAUUCAAGAGAUCUGCCUGCCUCCGCCUCCGCCUCCGCCUCUGCCUCCGAGUGCUGGGACUACAGGUGUAGAACACUACCUCCUGGCCCAGAGGCAAAAUUUUUUAGUUGAGUAUGAUGAUGCAUGUCCAUAAUCCCCACACUGGAGAGAUGAGACAAUGUUUACAAGUUCAAGACCAGCCUAAUCUACCGGGUGAGUUUCAGACCAGCCAGGGCUAUAUAAUAAGAUCCUCCUGUCUCUACCAGCUUCCCAAAAAGAGAAAGGCAGAAUUGUUGCAAUAUCUUAGUCCAGAGGCUAAAAGCUAUUUUUAAGUCCCCAGAAUGAUUUAUUUGAUUUUUUUUUCCUUUAUAUAUUAUACACAAUUUUAAAACCAAACAUGUUGGUAUUUAUAAACUGUUGGUGGUGAUUCUCGGGCUAUUAUUAAGGAGUGUGGAUUCAUUUACAAGAUGGACAGUUGAAUAUUUGCAUUGUUUAAAAUAUAUACAACAUUCCAUCUCAGCCUUGGCUAUAGAACAUGGCUAGUGGUCUAAUGCACAGGUCUUUACUGGCAGACAGACCUCUUAACUUUGUCUUAUGUCUUUGACAGAAUAGAGGUUACUUGCUAAAUUGUUAUUGGUGUUUGCACUUCUCAAUAGUUAGGCUGAUUCUUCCAUGUGAUACUGUGCACGGAAAAGUACAUAAGCUAGAGAGUAAUGCUUAGGAUAGACACGUCUGCAAGAGACAGCAUGGAAAUGCUUAAUAUGUGUCGACUAGGUUUCCAAAUAACAGGUCACAUUUUUUUCUGGGGACCUAGGGGAGACUGACCAUAACACUGUAAGUAAGAUAACACUCUGUCUAAUAUCGCUGUCAACCUUAGGGCGUGGGUAAGGAAUCCGAACGUAAAGGCUAAGAAACUUUGUGUUUGUUUGUUUUUUCAUGACAAGGUUUCUCUGUGUAACUCUGGCUGUCCUGGAACUCACUCUGUAAACCAGGCUGGCCUCGAACUCAUAGAUCGUUUUCCUACCUCUGCCUCCCGAGUGCUGACCCUGAGGUGUGUACCACCACGGUCUGCUGAGACAAUGAAACUUCAUUUACUGCUUUACCUGCAUGUUCCAGGUAACGUGCUGGGCACUUUGAGGAAACAUCUCUCUGAAUCCUUUUAUAAAGAUACAUCCUGGAAGGAAUUUACCUUGUGCCAGGAGUGCUUGGGCUUCCUAAUUACUUUUAAUUUCAUCGAUUAGUUUAUUUCCUUGAUAGUAAUAUCUACCACUUAUCAGGCCUGUCCCUGUGCUUUAGAUACUUGUCAAGCAUUAUCUCUGACCCUUCACUGCAGCCCUUUUGUACUAGGCCUUAUUUUAGUUGAGCUUCUAGAAUUCAGACUUUUCCUAAAGUAACAUAUUAAUAGAACCAGAAUUCAAACUCAUGUCCAGGACUUUGUUACAUGGCUUGUUCCUUCCUGAGUUGUUUUUAUGCUAUUAGUUUCCUCUUUAUUUAUUACAUAAUGUCUAACUUGCUUCCUAAGCUUUUUAUCCUUAGCAACUCAUGUCUGGAGGGAAGUUGGAAAGAGGCAACAGAUCUGCUUGCUUAUGGAGAUGCAGACAUUUGACUUGAACUUGAAACACUUCUCAGAAAUGGGGCUUUGGGGACUGGAGCACUGUUUUUGGCAGAGGACCUGGUUCAGCUCCCAGCACCCACAUGGCAGCUCACAACUGUAGCUCCACUUCCAAUGGAUCCAAUACCCCUUCUGACCACUGAGGGCUCUUGUCUACAUGUGCUGCACACACAUACACUCAGACGUAUACACAUAUAUUUAAAAUAAAUAUUUUU
rnacentral:lncRNA from 1 species